GGUCGAAUAGUUCAGUGGUAGAACGUCCCCCGACAAAAAAGCACCCUUCCUACUCGAUUUUGGAUACCCCCGACGUGCACGCGUUUAUCGUGCCCUGUAGGUUGGGUGUCGUCUGGGUGGAGACCUGGGUUCGAUUCCCAGUUUGAUCA